UACGUAGGGGGCAAGCGUUGUCCGGAUUUAUUGGGCGUAAAGAGCGUGUAGGCGGCUUGGUAGGUCCGCUGUGAAAACUCGAGGCUUAACCUCGAGAUGUCAUCGGAAACCAUUUGGCUAGAGUCCGGAAGAGGAGAGUGGAAUUCCUGGUGUAGCGGUGAAAUGCGCAGAUAUCAGGAAGAACACCCGUGGCGAAGGCGGCUCUCUGGGACGGUACUGACGCUGAGACGCGAAAGCGUGGGGAG
rnacentral:rRNA from 1 species